rnacentral:rRNA from 1 species
UCUUCCACAAUGGGCGAAAGCCUGAUGGAGCAACGCUGCGUGAGUGAAGACGGAUUUCGGAUCGUAAAACUCUGUUGUAUGGGAUGAACAAGUACAGGAGUAACUGGAUUUACCUUGACGGUACCUUAUUAUAAAGCCACGUCUAACUACGUGCAAGGAGCCGCGGUAAUACGUAGGUGGCAAGCGUUGUCCGGUAUUAUUGGGCGUAAAGCGCGCGCAGGCGGUCCUUUAAGUCUGAUGAGAAAGCCCACGGCUCAACCGUGGAGGGUCAUUGGAAACUGGGGGACUUGAGUGCAGAAGAGGAAAGUGGAAUUCCAAGUGUAGCGGUGAAAUGCGUAGAGAUUUGGGGAAACACCAGUGGCGAAGGCGACUUUCUGGUCUGUAACUGACGCUGAGGCGCGAAAGCGUGGGGAGCAAACA